rnacentral:lncRNA from 1 species
UACCCCUGGACAGCUAUUACCUUUGCCAUGUUGCGGAACCAGUGAUUCUUUUUAGAACAACAGAUUUCUGGAGCCUUAGCCACAGAAAGAGAUCUAGUGCAAAGUACUAUGCUACUGUCAGGGAGAGGGCGGCAGACACAGACAUCAAGCACAAGGAGAAUGCAAAGCCUGUGCCCUGUUACACACAUACAUGUGUGCACCCAAGAACCCAUGAUUAACUUCCUUCAAGUUCCCACUCCUGGGUCCCCAACCUGAUGCCAGCCUUCCUCAAAGCAGGUCAUAGGACCCAGAGAAGAAUCCCAUCAUCACUUCCAGUCUAACCCUCAUAUUGGGGUCACUGCCUGCUCUCUAGGAAUGACCAGGUUCCCAAGCUCCUACUGGAUCUCAGUACUGGCAAGAAUUCCUUUUUCCUGUAUUAUUUGGAAUUCUCUGGUGGGAAGGGCAUGGUGGGUGCCCAGCUUUAGGAAGCCCAACUUUCCAGCCCAGGCUAUGCUGAUAGUGCUGAGGCAGAUAAAAAUUUGCUGCUAAGAUUUUUCUUUGGGGUAGAAUUUCCUGUGAGGGGCUUGCAGCUCUCCUUCCUGUGUACAGAAAUACAGUAUUUUCCAUGGGAAAUAAAUAAAUAAAUAAAGU